GGGGAAGAAUGCAGCCCUGGAGGCCAGAGUGACAGCCAGUGAGAGACAGGUGGAGCAGCUGGAGAAAGAGAAUGCAGACCAAGUAGCUGAACUGUUAUCCUUGGGAAGCAGAGUGACAACCCUUCAGAGCCAGGUGGCAGAACUGAAGAAAGAGAAUGCAGCUCUGGACAUCAGAUUGACAGCCAGCGAAAGGCAGGUGGCAGAACUGAAGAAAGCGAAUGCAGUCCUGGAGGCCAGAGUGACAGUCAGUGAGAGUCACGUGGCAGAACUGGAG